rnacentral:rRNA from 1 species
AUUUUGAAGUGAAAAUUAUUAAUUUUUAUGAGAGUAAAAUAUAGAAUUUAUAUUUAUUUUAUUUGAUUUUUGGAUUUAAAAUUUUAUUUAUUAAAUUUAUAAAAUUAUUAUUUUAGAGAAUUUAAGGUUUUUAGAAAAAAUAUAUUUAAGAUUAAUUAUUUAAUGAAAAAUUAAAAUUUAUUAUAGAUUAAUAGUAAUGAAGGUGAUAUUUUAAAAAUAUUGCUUAGAAAAUUUUAUUUAUUGUACCUUGUGUAUCAGGGAUUGUUAAAUUAUUAUUAAAUAUUUAAGUUUCUCGAAUUUUAAAGAGCUAAAAUGUAAAGUUUAUUACUGUAGAAUAAUUAAAUUUAAUUAUAUUUUAGAAAUGAAACGUUAUUCGUUUUAAAAUUUAUCUAGUUUUUAAAGAAAAAAAUUGAAUUUUAUAUUAAAUUAUAAAUAGUUUUCUUAAUUAAAUUAUUUUUAUUUAAUAGUUAAUAGUAUAGGGAUAAGCUUAUACUAUAAUUAUUAUAAAUUAUUAAAUUUAUAAAUUGAAUAGGAUUAAAAAUUUUCAUUGUUAGUAGUUUGUUAUUAUUAAUUUUAUUAUAAUAAUUAUUUAUAUUAAUUUUAAAUUUUUUAUUUAAAUAUUAAUUUUAAUAUAAAAAAUUAAGAAAUAAUGACAAUAUUAGUAUAAAAAUAUUUUGUAAAUAUAAAAUUUUUGAUUGGUAAUUUUAAGGAACUCGGCAAAUUAAUUUUUCACCUGUUUAUUAAAAACAUGUCCUUUUGUUUAUGAUUUAAGGUCAUGCCUGCCCAUUGAUGAUUUGAAAGGCCGCGGUAUUUUGACCGUGCAAAGGUAGCAUAAUCAUUAGUUUUUUAAUUGAAAGCUGGAAUGAAGGGUUUCAUGAGAAAAUGUCUGUCUCUAGUUUAAUAUUUUAGAAUUUUAUUUUUAAGUUAAAAAGCUUAAAUAUUUUUAAAAGACGAGAAGACCCUGUAGAGUUUGAUUUAUAAUUGAAUUUUUUAAUUAUUUAGAAUUAAUAUUAUGAAUUUUAUAAUAAAUUUAGUUGGGGUGAUUGAAUAAUUAAAUUAACUUAUUUUUUAAGUAAACAUAAAUUUAUGAAUUUUUGAUCCAAUUUUUUUGAUUAAAAGAAAAAAUUACCUUAGGGAUAACAGCGUAAUUUUUUUAGAGAGUUCUUAUCGAUAAAAAAGAUUGCGACCUCGAUGUUGGAUUAAAAUUAAUUUUCGGUGUAGAAGCUGAGAAUUAUAGGUCUGUUCGACCUUUAAAAUUUUACAUGAUCUGAGUUUAAACCGGUGUGAGCCAGGUUGGUUUCUAUCUUUAAAAAUUUUAAAUAUUUUAGUACGAAAGGACCAAAUAUUUAUUAAAAUAGUUUAUUUAUUUGAAUAAAAUU